rnacentral:tRNA from 1 species
GCCCCCGUAGCUCAGAGGACAGAGCAGGAGCCUUCUAAGCUCUUGGUCGGGGGUUCGAAUCCUCCCGGGGGCGCCG